AAUUGCUGAAAUAUCUAUCAAUUAAAACUUUUAAAAAAUGUAUGACUGUGUGCCAAAACGGAGGUGUCUUCUAAUGAAUUUCAUCCAAUACGUUUAUGAAAACUAGUAAAGUAAUAGACAAAAAAGACAACAAGCAAAGCAACGUGAAAUUUAAGCAAUAGGCAAAAGGAAAAACAUUAAAUAAAAUAUUUAUAAUGUCUGUAUAUACAGAAGUGUUUAAAAGCAAAAUUCUAUUGUUAGGGCCAAAGAAUAUAAAAUAAAUUUUAAUAAAGAUCUUACACAAUAAAUGGCAUGAAAUCAAACUCCCUGAAAAAUAAAACUAAUAAACGCUAUUAAUUAUGUACGCAGAACAUGUAUCAAUUGCAUGUACUUUAUGUUUAGUUGUAACCGCGUGUUUGAAAUAAAAAUGCAUGUAAAAUCGGAUUAGUUUAGAAAAGAAUAAAAAGGAAAAAAGAAAGUAUAACGUUUUCUAAUUUUUUAGCCAUAAUACUGGCUUCAUUGCCUGCCAUCAAUAUACCAUUUUGUGUUCCUCUUUAUGGUCAGUUCGCAUCAUUAUUUAUCGAUCAUACCGUUGGCAUUGGCACGUCUUCGACAACCUUCUUUUUACCAAUAUUUGGUGGGAAAAAAAAACUUGAAUCCCGUCUGCAAAAGUGGAUCAUCGUCAAACUGAGAGAAUGCCAACCCCACAUGUCUACCAAUUAUUUCGUUCGUGGUAAUUUUUCGUCAUUGGAUGUACCAACCUUACAUUCUAGAUCAAGUGUUAUGCAAACUAAUUUUGAUGAGGGCUUUUUCAUCGGAAAUAGACAAAAUUGACAAUAAUACCCUUUGAAUCAGAAACUGGUUUUACCGCCAAUAGAACGUCAACAGCGAAAGUAAUCAACUAAAAUAAUUACACAUACGGUAAACUCAAUGGAUAUGUAAUGCAAGUAAAUGCGUGGUUGGGAUACGACGAAAUCUUAGUAGGAGCAAAGUCAGCAACUGUGGUAAAUCCUCGUUGUUGCUUCGUCGACCUUUUUCAUGAAUGUGUUGCCGUUUUUGCAAUAAGUGGUUUAAAAAACCGCAACUGUGCCAAAUGUGGUAAAAGGUAUCGUACGAUGAUUCUUUCGGAUAUCGUCGAUGGUGAGAUACGUUUUCGAAUCCAUAUCGAAGAACAUCUAAUGCCAUUUUACCUGAGGAUAAACUCGUUACGCACGAAGAAGAAGAAUGAUGGUAAAAUUACCAAAUUUAACAUUUUCAACAAAGAUUUGCUAACAACUAACGAUAGGGCUAUGGCUUCGUAUGACUUUUACACGUAUCCAAACAGGUUCAAUGAAAUCUAAUAUUUCUCCAAUAUCUUGUUAAUCCCUCUUAUUAUUAUGGCAGCGUUUCUUGUUAAGUUUACUGUAAUUGAUUUUCGCGCAUAUUGAAUUGUAAUAUUGUUAGAAUAACAUUUAAGUAAUUUUGGAACACAUACGGAAUUAUAACAUAAUAAAGUUAAAUAAAUUAAUCUCAUCUGGUGGCUUUUUUCUAAUACUCUUCUCAUUAGUCGACUUAUAAUGUUAUACUAAAUUUUUGUAAUAACCAUCUUGCUGUGUGUUAACUCAUAUUUUAAUGCCUCUAGGCUCGCCUCUUGGGGCAAUUGCCAGCAACAAAUUCUUUCGGACCUCUCUGAAGUGUGAUGAUUAUGUCUUUCUAACAGGUCUACGAAACAUGAUGAGCUUGUGAUGGUAAUAUACUUGAUAGUUCUGCCGCUGUAGGCCUGCCAGAGUCUUGUUGACUGCCGAAGCAUAAUUAAAGAAUAAUCAAUAUUCACACUGCCCUUUUGUACAAUUUCACUGCGGCGCUGCUUUGGUGUAUGUAGAAUAGUGUUGGUGUGCUGGUACUUACAACUAAUAUACAUAGAUUCGAAUUAGUGCUCGCGUACGUGAAUGAUGUCAUUACAAUCGCGUUUGUUCACGAGUAAGCAAAACCCUUUAAAAUCUCUUAACACCACAAUAAGGACAUGGUCCUUUUCCAUGAUGUCUAUGUUUACUUUGACUAUUAAUUUACCAAAAGUAUUUGUGUGUAUAUUUCGCGACAA